AUUGAACGCUGGCGGCAGGCCUAACACAUGCAAGUCGAGCGGAUGAGGGGAGCUUGCUCCUGGAUUCAGCGGCGGACGGGUGAGUAAUGCCUAGGAAUCUGCCUGGUAGUGGGGGAUAACGUCCGGAAACGGGCGCUAAUACCGCAUACGUCCUGAGGGAGAAAGUGGGGGAUCUUCGGACCUCACGCUAUCAGAUGAGCCUAGGUCGGAUUAGCUAGUUGGUGGGGUAAAGGCCUACCAAGGCGACGAUCCGUAACUGGUCUGAGAGGAUGAUCAGUCACACUGGAACUGAGACACGGUCCAGACUCCUACGGGAGGCAGCAGUGGGGAAUAUUGGACAAUGGGCGAAAGCCUGAUCCAUCCAUGCCGCGUGUGUGAAGAAGGUCUUCGGAUUGUAAAGCACUUUAAGUUGGGAGGAAGGGCAGUAAGUUAAUACCUUGCUGUUUUGACGUUACCAACAGAAUAAGCACCGGCUAACUUCGUG
rnacentral:rRNA from 1 species